rnacentral:rRNA from 1 species
AUUGAACGCUGGCGGCAGGCCUAACACAUGCAAGUCGAACGGUAACAGAAAGCAGCUUGCUGCUUUGCUGACGAGUGGCGGACGGGUGAGUAAUGUCUGGGAAACUGCCUGAUGGAGGGGGAUAACUACUGGAAACGGUAGCUAAUACCGCAUAACGUCGCAAGACCAAAGAGGGGGACCUUCGGGCCUCUUGCCAUCGGAUGUGCCCAGAUGGGAUUAGCUAGUAGGUGGGGUAACGGCUCGCCUAGGCGACGAUCCCUAGCUGGUCUGAGAGGAUGACCAGCCACACUGGAACUGAGACACGGUCCAGACUCCUACGGGAGGCAGCAGUGGGGAAUAUUGCACAAUGGGCGCAAGCCUGAUGCAGCCAUGCCGCGUGUAUGAAGAAGGCCUUCGGGUUGUAAAGUACUUUCAGCGGGGAGGAAGGGAGUAAAGUUAAUACCUUUGCUCAUUGACGUUACCCGCAGAAGAAGCACCGGCUAACUCCGUG